rnacentral:rRNA from 1 species
CAAGAGCGUAUAUUAAAGUUGUUACAGUUAAAAAGCUCGUAGUUGGAUUUCUGGUACAAUGCGCCUGGCCCGCGACCGUUAGGUCUGUGAGUGCCGGUGCGCGUUUGCCAUCCUUCUAGAAAACGUUUCUACCCUUCACUGGGCCGGACUCGCGAUCUAGAUCUUUUACUUUGAAAAAAUUAGAGUGUUUAAAGCAGGCUUUUGCUGUGAAUACAUUAGCAUGGAAUAAUAAGAUAGGACUGCGGUCUAUUUUGUUGGUUACAGGCCGAAGUAAUGAUUAAUAGGGAUAGUUGGGGGUAUUCAUAUUUGGCAGUCAGAGGUGAAAUUCUUAGAUUUGCUGAAGAUGAACAACUGCGAAAGCAUUUACCAAGGAUGUUUUCAUUAA